rnacentral:rRNA from 1 species
CGCGUAGGCGGCCGGCCAAGUCGGAUGUGAAAUCCCUCGGCUCAACCGAGGAACUGCACUCGAUACUGGUUGGCUAGAGUCCGGGAGGGGAUGGUGGAAUUCCCAGUGUAGCGGUGAAAUGCGUAGAUAUUGGGAAGAACACCGGUGGCGAAGGCGGCCAUCUGGACCGGAACUGACGCUGAGGCGCGAAGCCAGGGGAGCGAAUG